rnacentral:rRNA from 1 species
GACAGAGGUUGCAAACGUUGUUCGGAAUUACUGGGCAUAAAGCGCACGUAGGCGGUUCGUUAAGUCAUGUGUGAAAUCCCUCGGCUCAACCGAGGAAUUGCGCCUGAUACUGGCGAGCUAGAGAUCGAUAGGGGUGAGUGGAACUCCAGGUGGAGCGGUGAAAUGCGUAGAUAUCUGGAGGAACACCGGUGGCGAAAGCGGCUCACUGGAUCGAUACUGACGCUGAGGUGCGAAAGCUAGGGUAGCAAACGGGAUUAAGAAACCC